GAUGAACGCUGGCGGCGUGCCUAAUACAUGCAAGUCGAGCGAACAGACGAGGAGCUUGCUCCUCUGACGUUAGCGGCGGACGGGUGAGUAACACGUGGAUAACCUACCUAUAAGACUGGGAUAACUUCGGGAAACCGGAGCUAAUACCGGAUAAUAUAUUGAACCGCAUGGUUCAAUAGUGAAAGACGGUUUUGCUGUCACUUAUAGAUGGAUCCGCGCCGCAUUAGCUAGUUGGUAAGGUAACGGCUUACCAAGGCAACGAUGCGUAGCCGACCUGAGAGGGUGAUCGGCCACACUGGAGCUGAGACACGGUCCAGACUACUACGGGAGGCAGCAGUAGGGAAUGUUCCGCAAUGGGCGAAAGCUUGACGGAGCAACGCCGCGUGAGUGAUGAAGGUCUUCGGAUCGUAAAACUCUGUUAUUAGGGAAGAACAAAUGUGUAAGUAACUAUGCACGUCUUGACGGUACCUAAUCAGAAAGCCACGGCUAACUACGUG
rnacentral:rRNA from 1 species